AUUGAACGCUGGCGGAAUGCUUUACACAUGCAAGUCGAACGGUAGAGGGGGCAACCCCUCGAGAGUGGCGAACGGGUGAGUAAUAUAUCGGAACGUGCCCAGUCGUGGGGGAUAACGUAGCGAAAGUUACGCUAAUACCGCAUACGAUCUACGGAUGAAAGCGGGGGAUCGCAAGACCUCGCGCGAUUGGAGCGGCCGAUAUCAGAUUAGGUAGUUGGUGGGGUAAAGGCUCACCAAGCCAACGAUCUGUAGCUGGUCUGAGAGGACGACCAGCCACACUGGAACUGAGACACGGUCCAGACUCCUACGGGAGGCAGCAGUGGGGAAUUUUGGACAAUGGACGCAAGUCUGAUCCAGCCAUUCCGCGUGCAGGAUGAAGGCCCUCGGGUUGUAAACUGCUUUUGUACGGAACGAAAAGGUUUCCAUUAAUACUGGGAGCUCAUGACGGUACCGUAAGAAUAAACACCGGCUAGCUACGUGCCAGCCGCCGCAGUAA
rnacentral:rRNA from 1 species